rnacentral:rRNA from 1 species
GACGAACGCUGGCGGCGCGCUUAACACAUGCAAGUCGAGCGAAGCGGCGGACGGGUGACUCACACGUGAGUAACCUGCCUUAGACAUUUGGAUAGCCUCGGGAAACCGGGAUUAAUACCAAAUGGUCUAAGAUGGACUCGCGUCCCAUUAGCUAGUUGGUGGGGUAACGGCCCACCAAGGCGACGAUGGGUAGCCGGCCUGAGAGGGUGAACGGCGACAGUGGAACGGAGAAACGGUCGAAAAUCUACGGGAGGGAGCAGUGGGGAAUAGUGCAAAGUGGAGGGAACUAUGAUGCAGCGACGCCGGGUGAACGAAGAAGGCGUUCGAGUCGUAAAGUGUUUUUAUAUGGGAAGCGGUACCAUAAGAAAAAGCCCCGGCUAACUACGUGCCAGCAGCCGCGGUAAUGC